GCGAGCGCUCUGCUACAUGACGUGGGUCUGGUUCGCGCCUUUGGCUGCUACCUCCAAACGGUGUUAUAUGAGUGCCUCUGGACUCUCCUGGGUUCCCGAUUUCUUCUUAUACGUUGGGGUCUAUCUUCAUUCUCUGAUGACAUGCCUCUUUGUGACCUGGUGUUCAUCACCUUGGCUCACUGUAUACUUUAACCUUGAAAAAAUUAGAGUGUUCAAAGCAGGCUAUUGCCUGAAUAAAUCGCAUGGGAUAAUGAAAAGGACUCUGUAGUGAAGUGGUACGCCUCUAACUGAGUACAUGAUUAAUAGGGACAAUCGGGGUCGCUCGUAUUGAUACGGGAGAGGUGAAAUUCUAAGAUCGUAUCAAGACGAACUAUUGCGAAAGCAUUCGACAAGGGUGUUUUCAUUAAUCAAGAACGAAAGUUGGGGGAUUAAAGAUGAUUAGAUACCGUCGUAGUCUUGACUAUAAACUAUAUUGACUAAAUAUUAUGGAACGUUGUUCCUGACUCCUGUAGUAUUUUAUGAGAAAUCACAAGUGUGAUUUUAGGGGGAGUAUGGUCGCAAGGCUGAAACUUAAAGGAAUUGACGGAAGGGCACCCCCAGGAGUGGAACCUGCGGCUUAAUUUGACUCAACGCGGGACAACUUACCAGGUCAGGACACAGUAAGGAUUGACAGAUUGAUAGUUCUUUCAUGAUUUUGUGGAAAGUGGUGCAUGGCCGUUUUUAGUUGGUGGAUUGAUUUGUCUGGUUAAUUCCGUUAACGAACGAGACCUUUAUCUACUAACUAGUAACAAUAAUAUUGGUCUACGGAUCAUCUAUUAUUAUUGACUUCUUAGAGAGACCCAUUAAGUAUAUUAAAAGGAGGAGAAAGGCAACAACAGGUCUGUGAUGCCCUUAGAUGUCCUGGGCUGCACGCGGGUUACAUUGGAUUUUCGAAACUGUUAUUUAUCCUUGCACGAAUGUGCUGGGUAAUCCUAAAUAGAAAUGCCAAAACUGGGAUAGUAAAUUGUAAUUAUUGUUCUUGAACGAGGAAUUCCUAGUAAGCUUAAUUCAUUACAUUGGGCUGAUUACGUCCCUGCCCUUUUGUACACACCGCCCGUCGCUCCUACCGAUUGGAUAGUCCGAUGAGGUCUUAGGACAACUGGGAUCUUGGUUGGUUGCAAAACUAAUCAAACCCAUGUUAGAUUU
rnacentral:rRNA from 1 species